rnacentral:rRNA from 1 species
GGCUAGGGGGCCAUCCCGGCUUACCAACCCGAUGCAAACUGCGAAUACCGGAGAAUGUUAUCACGGGAGACACACGGCGGGUGCUAACGUCCGUCGUGAAGAGGGAAACAACCCAGACCGCCAGCUAAGGUCCCAAAGUCAUGGUUAAGUGGGAAACGAUGUGGGAAGGCCCAGACAGCCAGGAUGUUGGCUUAGAAGCAGCCAUCAUUUAAAGAAAGCGUAAUAGCUCACUGGUCGAGUCGGCCUGCGCGGAAGAUGUAACGGGGCUAAACCAUGCACCGAAGCUGCGGCAGCGACGCUUAUGCGUUGUUGGGUAGGGGAGCGUUCUGUAAGCCUGCGAAGGUGGCCUGUGAGGG